UACGUAGGGUGCAAGCGUUGUCCGGAAUUAUUGGGCGUAAAGAGCUCGUAGGCGGUUUGUCGCGUCUGCUGUGAAAACUCGGGGCUUAACCCCGGGCCUGCAGUGGGUACGGGCAGACUAGAGUGCGGUAGGGGAGACUGGAAUUCCUGGUGUAGCGGUGAAAUGCGCAGAUAUCAGGAGGAACACCGGUGGCGAAGGCGGGUCUCUGGACCGUAACUGACGCUGAGGCGCGAAAGCGUGGGGAGCAAACAGGG
rnacentral:rRNA from 1 species